CUUCCUCUUCUCUGUUCGUUCUUUGUUUGUCUUCUUCAUUCUUCUACUUCUUCAUUCUUUCAUCAUCUUUCUUUUUUACUUUUCUUCUUCUUCCCGUACUUAUUCAUUUUUAUUCUUUUAAGUUAUCCAUACCACACCCCUGAACCGCGCCGCCUCCACCUUCCUCGACCGUCGACCAUUGACCAUGCUCCGCUGCCACCUUUCUUGACUCGUCGACCGCGAGCUGCCCCUACCCGCUGACGGUUUCCAUGGAUGGAAUUUGGUAAGUAUGUCCAGUGAAUGGUGGAGCUGUUCAAUUUCCCGGCUUUAAUGCUUGUUCGUCGCCCGGAACUUCCAUGUACGUUCAAUUUAACAUUGCAUGGGGCUGGCAAUGUGGCACGUGAUUCUAUGAUGAUUAAAUUUUGUUUGUGGAUUGAUGCUAACCUCAUUUCCGUUGGUUGAACUUGCAUUCUCUACUUUCUUUUGUGUGUUUAUUUUUAUGCUUUGUCGUAUAUGUUACGCUGAAUUGCGAAGUAGUUAUGUUUCUACACAGUGCGUACUUAGUGCAAUUGAUAGUUUAUGUAAUAUUAUUAUAUUUUGUAAUUUCGUUUGGGAGUAUUUUUCGUA